rnacentral:rRNA from 1 species
CAGCAGCCGCGGUAAUACGGAGGGUGCGAGCGUUAAUCGGAAUUACUGGGCGUAAAGCGCAUGCAGGUGGUUUGUUAAGUCAGAUGUGAAAGCCCGGGGCUCAACCUCGGAACCGCAUUUGAAACUGGCAGGCUAGAGUACUGUAGAGGGGGGUAGAAUUUCAGGUGUAGCGGUGAAAUGCGUAGAGAUCUGAAGGAAUACCGGUGGCGAAGGCGGCCCCCUGGACAGAUACUGACACUCAGAUGCGAAAGCGUGGGGAGCAAACAGGAUUAGAUACCCUGGUAGUCCACGCCGUAAACGAUGUCUACUUGGAGGUUGUGGCCUUGAGCCGUGGCUUUCGGAGCUAACGCGUUAAGUAGACCGCCUGGGGAGUACGGUCGCAAGAUUAAAACUCAAAUGAAUUGACGGGGGCCCGCACAAGCGGUGGAGCAUGUGGUUUAAUUCGAUGCAACGCGAAGAACCUUACCUACUCUUGACAUCCAGAGAACUUUCCAGAGAUGGAUUGGUGCCUUCGGGAACUCUGAGACAGGUGCUGCAUGGCUGUCGUCAGCUCGUGUUGUGAAAUGUUGGGUUAAGUCCCGCAACGAGCGCAACCCUUAUCCUUGUUUGCCAGCGAGUAAUGUCGGGAACUCCAGGGAGACUGCCGGUGAUAAACCGGAGGAAGGUGGGGACGACGUCAAGUCAUCAUGGCCCUUACGAGUAGGGCUACACACGUGCUACAAUGGCGCAUACAGAGGGCGGCCAACUCGCGAGAGUGAGCGAAUCCCAAAAAGUGCGUCGUAGUCCGGAUUGGAGUCUGCAACUCGACUCCAUGAAGUCGGAAUCGCUAGUAAUCGUAGAUCAGAAUGCUACGGUGAAUACGUUCCCGGGCCUUGUACACACCGCCCGUCACACCAUGGGAGUGGGCUGCAAAAGAAGUGGGUAGUUUAACCUUCGGGAGGACGCUCACCACUUUGUGGUUCAUGACUGGGGUGAAGUCGUAACAAGGUAACCGUA